rnacentral:rRNA from 1 species
CACGUAGGGUGCGAGCGUUGUCCGGAAUUAUUGGGCGUAAAGAGCUCGUAGGCGGUGUGUCGCGUCGGCCGUGAAAACCUCGCAGCUUAACUGUGGGCUUGCGGUCGAUACGGCAUCACUGGAGUUCGGCAGGGGAGGACUGAAUUCCUGGUGUAGACGGUGAAAUGCGCAGGAUAUCAGGAGGAACACCGGUCGGCGAAGGCGGGUCUC